rnacentral:rRNA from 1 species
UACGUAGGUGGCAAGCGUUGUCCGGAAUGACUGGGCGUAAAGGGAGCGUAGGCGGCGCGGUAAGUUAGGAGUGAAAUCCCGGGGCUUAACCCCGGAACUGCUUUCAAAACUGCUGGUCUUGAGUGAUGGAGAGGCAGGCGGAAUUCCGUGUGUAGCGGUGAAAUGCGUAGAUAUACGGAGGAACACCAGUGGCGAAGGCGGCCUGCUGGACAUUAACUGACGCUGAGGAGCGAAAGCGUGGGGAGCAAACAGG